rnacentral:rRNA from 1 species
CCUCUAGAGAUAGAGUUUUCCCCUUCGGGGGACAGAGUGACAGGUGGUGCAUGGUUGUCGUCAGCUCGUGUCGUGAGAUGUUGGGUUAAGUCCCGCAACGAGCGCAACCCUUAAGCUUAGUUGCCAUCAUUAAGUUGGGCACUCUAAGUUGACUGCCGGUGACAAACCGGAGGAAGGUGGGGAUGACGUCAAAUCAUCAUGCCCCUUAUGAUUUGGGCUACACACGUGCUACAAUGGACAAUACAAAGGGCAGCGAAACCGCGAGGUCAAGCAAAUCCCAUAAAGUUGUUCUCAGUUCGGAUUGUAGUCUGCAACUCGACUAUAUGAAGCUGGAAUCGCUAGUAAUCGUAGAUCAGCAUGCUACGGUGAAUACGUUCCCGGGUCUUGUACACACCGCCCGUCACACCACGAGAGUUUGUAACACCCGAAGCCGGUGGAGUAACCAUUUGGAGCUAGCCGUCGAAGGUGGGACAAAUGAUUGGGGUGAAGUCGUAACAAGGUAGCCGUAUCGGAAGGUGCGGCUGGAUCACCUCCUUUCUAAGGA